rnacentral:rRNA from 1 species
AUACGUAGGUGACAAGCGUUAUCCGGAUUUACUGGGCGUAAAGGGCGUGUAGGCGGUCUUGCAAGUCAGAAGUGAAAUUCCUGAGCUCAACUCGGGCGCUGCUUCUGAAACUGCAGGACUUGAGUGCUGGAGGGGAUAGCGGAAUUCCUAGUGGAGCGGUAAAAUGCGCAGAUAUUAGGAAGAACACCGGUGGCGAAGGCGGCUAUCUGGACAGUAACUGACGCUGAGGCGCGAAAGCGUGGGGAGAAAACAGGAUUAGAUACCCGGGUAGUCCACGCCGUAAACGAUGAAUACUAGGUGUAGGGGGUAUCGACUCCCUCUGUGCCGCAGUUAACACAAUAAGCAUUCCGCCUGGGGAGUACGGCCGCAAGGUUGAAACUCAAAUGAAUUGACGGGG